rnacentral:rRNA from 1 species
UAGUCCACGCCGUAAACGAUGAUCACUCGUUGUAUGCCUAUAUUUGGUAUGCGACUGAGCGAAAGCAUUAAGUGAUCCACCUGGGGAGUACGUUCGCAAGAAUGAAACUCAAAGGAAUUGACGGGGGCCCGCACAAGCGGUGGAACAUGUGGUUUAAUUCGAUGAUACGCGAGGAACCUUACCUGGGCUUAAAUGUAGAACGACUUUCGCCGAAAGGCGAUUUCCCUUCGGGGCGAUCUACAAGGUGCUGCAUGGUUGUCGUCAGCUCGUGCCGUGAGGUGUCGGGUUAAGUCCCAUAACGAGCGCAACCCCUAUUGUUAGUUACCAGCGGAUAAUGCCGGGGACUCUAGCGAGACUGCCACCGUAAGGUGAGAGGAAGGUGGGGAUGACGUCAAAUCAGCACGGGGCCCCUUAUGUCCAGGGGGCUACACACGUGUUACAAAUGGGCCAGUACAGAGGGGCAGGCUACCUGGGUGACAGGGGAUGGCAAAUCUCACAAAACUGGGUC